CACGUAGGGGACGAGCGUUGUCCGGAUUCAUUGGGCGUAAAGCGCACGUAGGCGGUCAGGCAAGUCGGGUGUGAAAGCCCUGGGCUCAACCUGGGAAUUGCAUUCGAAACUAUCUGACUCGAGUAUGGGAGAGGGAAGCGGAAUUUCCGGUGUAGCGGUGAAAUGCGUAGAUAUCGGAAGGAACACCAGUGGCGAAGGCGGCUUCCUGGACUAAUACUGACGCUGAGGUGCGAAAGCGUGGGGAGCAAACAGG
rnacentral:rRNA from 1 species